rnacentral:rRNA from 1 species
GAGGUGGGGCUGAUGACUGGGGUGAAGUCGUAACAAGGUAGCCGUACCGGAAGGUGCGGCUGGAUCACCUCCUAA